GGUCACACUAUGUGGCCUUUAUUCUCUAUAUAGCACAUUUUGUUUUCCAGCAAGAAUCUUCCUCUUCCACCAAGUGAAGCCCAUUGACCCAAUAUCUGAAGGCAGCCUGGGAAGAACCUGCACUCUUUAGACCACCCAAGGCCAAUGUCAUGAUCAGGCAUGAAGCUGCCUGACAUCUAAGGAUCUCUGAAGAGAACUGGGACCUGAAACCCAUCUGAAAUGUAUCUGCAGACAGGUCAAGUUCAUCGAGAGUCACCUCCUGCCUGACACUCCAGUCAUUAAUUCCAGAUAGGGGAUUUAGCCUGGAAAGAAUAUAUGACUGCCAGUUACUAAGUGAGCCAGACAUCAAGCCUAGUGCCACGUGUCUCUUCUUUAAAGCAUGAUAGGUCACCAACUGAAGAGGAAAUUGGUGAGCAUCAACUUUCUCAGCAUGGUGAGAGAACAUUGAUGGCUGGUUCAUGCUAAAUGUCCAGAGGAAAGAAAAGGUAAUUCACUGAUUGUUCAGCCUGGUGAAUUUUAACCUCUCAUGAGACAAGAAAAUUACUAUGUGGAAACACAGACAUCAUGAUGCUUAUUCAGAAGAUGCUAAGAACUUUGAUGACUCAUUCAAUAUAUCUUUGUAAAAGUAAAUGAAAUGCAAAAGAUAAGGAAGGCAAAAAAGAGAUGGAUAGAAAAGGAAGGGAAGGAGAAGAAAGAAAAAAGAGAAAUGCAUAUUUUAUAGAAUGAUGCAAUAUUUAACAGUUAAACAAAUGUGGCGGGUGGGCCUGGUGGCUCACGCCUGUAAUCCCAGCAGUUUGGGAGGCCGAGGUGGGAGGAUCACCUGAGGUCAGGAGUUCGAGACCAGCCUGACCAACAUGGAGAAACCCCAUCUCUACUAAAAACAUAAAAUUAGCUGGGUGUGGUGGCGCAUGCCUGUAAUCCCAGCUACUCAGGAGGCUAAGGCAGGAGAAUCGCUUGAACCUGGGAGGAGGAGGUUGCAGUGAGCCAAGAUCGUGCCACUGUACUCCAGCCUGGGCAACAAGAGCAAAACUCCACCUCAAAAAAAAAAAUAGUGAAAUGUUUAUGUAUCAGCCUAUGGGGGCUCAGUGCUGCCAAUUUGGUGAGGACGAUGGGGUUUAUGCAAAUGUCCUUUUGUAGACGCAAUGAGAAAAAAGAGGCAGAGAAGGGGCAAGAGGUAUCUCUCACAGGAAUACAGAAAUUCUAGCUCUGCAUACAUAACUAAUUGACUGCCUGUAUAAACUCAACUAUCUGAAAUUCACCCUUUUACACACUCUGUCUCUGGGUUAAGGACAGAAAACUUUCUGUGCUACUCAAGAAUGAGAUCUCAAAUGAAAAGGAGCAACGCUGUGAACUUUGCCUGGAAAGAAACAUUCCUCCACAGCCCUGCUGGUUUCAGGUGUGAUUGGUAAAUAUGGACUUUUAAAUGGGCUUAUCCAAAUGACAUCCUCACAUGAAUGAGACAAAUAGAAACUCAUAUGAAAGGUGCUUUCGGAAAUGACAUAAAAGAAGAAAUGAUUGAGACAAGGGAGUCAAGAGGUGUGGUAAGAGAGAAUGGGUCUCUUUUUGGAGAGGCUGUAGAUGACUGUCUGCAAAUCGCUCCUAGUAAGGUAGCACUUUUAAGAGAUGGUGGAGAAAGGGCUGAACAUUUAGGGAUCUGGGGAUGAGGAGAUGAGUAACAGAGAUUGAUAAACUUGUGAAGAUGCAGAGCUUUAUAGGAGAGAAG